UCCGGCUUGUCACCGGCAGUUUCUUCAGAGUGCCCAGCUUAACCUGAUGGCAACUGAAGAUGAGGGUUGCGCUCGUUGCGGGACUUAACCCAACAUCUCACGACACGAGCUGACGACAGCCAUGCAGCACCUGUGUGGAAGCCAGCCGAACUGAAGGGUCCCGUUUCCGGAACCCACACUUCCCAUGUCAAGGGGUGGUAAGGUUCUUCGCGUUGCGUCGAAUUAAACCACAUGCUCCACCGCUUGUGCGGGCCCCCGUCAAUUCCUUUGAGUUUCAGCCUUGCGGCCGUACUCCCCAGGCGGGGCACUUAAUGCGUUAGCGCCGGCACCCAGGGGGUCGCUCCCCCAGGCACCUAGUGCCCAUCGUUUACGGCGUGGACUAC
rnacentral:misc_RNA from 1 species